UACGUAGGGCGCAAGCGUUGUCCGGAUUUAUUGGGCGUAAAGCGCGCGUAGGUGGCUUCGUAAGUCCGUUGUGAAAGUCAAAGGCUCAACCUUUGAAUGCCGAUGGAUACUGCGGAGCUAGAGUACGGAAGAGGCGAGUGGAAUUCCUGGUGUAGCGGUGGAAUGCGCAGAUAUCAGGAGGAACACCAAUAGCGAAGGCAGCUCGCUGGGACGUUACUGACACUAAGGCGCGAAAGCGUGGGGAGCGAACAGG
rnacentral:rRNA from 1 species